AACGCACCUUGCGCCCUUUGGUAUUCCGAAGGGCAUGCCUGUUUGAGUGUCAUGAAAUCAUCAAUCUCUAAGGUUUCUUAUUGAUUGGACUUGGGUGUUGCCAGUGGCUCGCCUUAAAAGUGUUAGCGAUACAGAUGUGAAUCCUGGCGUAAUAAGUUUCGUCAGAGUAAGCAUUAUGUUUGCUUCUAAUCGUCGCAAGACAAUCUUUUGACUCUGACCUCAAAUCAGGUAGGACUACCCGCUGAACUUAA
rnacentral:misc_RNA from 1 species